CAACAGCGUAUAUUAAAGUUGUUGCAGUUAAAACGCUCGUAGUCGGAUUUCGGGGCGGGCGGGCCGGUCUGCCGAUGGGUAUGCACUGGUCUGGCCGUCCUUCCUUCCGGAGACCGUGCGUGCUCUUAACUGAGUGCGCUCGGGAGACGGAUCGUUUACUUUGAAAAAAUCAGAGUGUUUCAAGCAGGCAGCUCGCUCUUGCAUGGAUUAGCACGGGAUAAUGAAAUAGGACUUUGGUGCUAUUUUGUUGGUUUCGAACACCGAAGUAAUGAUUAACAGGGACAGUCAGGGGCACUCGUAUUCCGCCGAGAGAGGUGAAAUUCUCAGACCAGCGGAAGACGAACCACUGCGAAAGCAUUUGCCAGGGAUGUUUUCACUG
rnacentral:rRNA from 1 species